rnacentral:rRNA from 1 species
ACACGACUACAUUAGAUACCCUGUAGUCCAGGGUGUAAACGCUGCGGGCUUGGUGUUGGGGGUCCUUUGAGGGCGCCCAGUGCCGGAGAGAAGUUGUUAAGCCUGCUGCUUGGGGAGUACGUCCGCAAGGAUGAAACUUAAAGGAAUUGGCGGGGGAGCACCGCAACGGGAGGAGCGUGCGGUUCAAUUGGAUUCAACGCCGGACAACUCACCAGGAGCGACGGUUACAUGAAGGCCAGGCUGAUGACCUUGCCUGAUUUCCG